ACUAUAGUGAUAGAUGGGGGAGUAGGGUCACUAUAGGGGUAGAUGGCCCCCCAUCUACCCCUAUAGUGCCCCUGCUCCCCCAUCUA